CCUACGGGGGGCUGCAGUGGGGAAUAUUGCGCAAUGGGGGAAACCCUGACGCAGCAACGCCGCGUGAGUGAGGAAGGACUUCGGUCUGUAAAGCUCUGUUAAUGUGGAAAAAUGGCAGUUGGUCUGAUAGGCCGAUUGUUUGAUGGUACACAUAGAGGAGGCACCGGCUAACUUCGUGCCAGCAGCCGCGGUAAUACGAAGGGUGCAAGCGUUGUUCGGAUUUAUUGGGCGUAAAGCGCGCGUGGGCGGACCUGCAAGUCAGAUGUGAAAUCUCGGGGCUCAACCUCGAAACUGCGUCUGAAACUACAGGUCUAGAAUCUUGGAGGGGGAAGGGGAAUUUCGCAUGUAGGGGUAAAAUCCGUAGAUAUGCGAAGGAACACCAGAGGCGAAGGCGCCUUCCUGGACAAGUAUUGACGCUGAGGCGCGAAAGCGUGGGGAUC
rnacentral:rRNA from 1 species